rnacentral:rRNA from 1 species
UGGGGAAUCUUGGACAAUGGGGGCAACCCUGAUCCAGCCAUGCCGCGUGAGUGAUGAAGGCCUUAGGGUCGUAAAGCUCUUUCGCCUGUGAAGAUAAUGACGGUACCUAGUAAAGAAGUCCCGGCUAACUCCGUGCCAGCAGCCGCGGUAAUACGGAGGGGGACUAGCGUUGUUCGGAAUUACUGGGCGUAAAGAGUUCGUAGGCGGACUAGCAAGUUAGAGGUGAAAUCCCUCGGCUCAACCGGGGAACUGCCUUUGAAACUGUCUGGCUAGAGUUCGGGAGAGGGUAGGGGGAAUUCCUAGUGUAGCGGUGAAAUGCGUAGAUAUUAGGAGGAACACCAGUGGCGAAGGCGCCUACCUGGACCGAUACUGACGCUGAGGUGCGAAAGCGUGGGGAAGCAACAGGAUUAGAUACCCUGGUAGUCCACGCUGUAAACGAUGGUCACUCGGUGCUGCGGGUAUCGACCCC